GACGUAGGGUGCGAGCGUUGUCCGGAUUUAUUGGGCGUAAAGAGCUCGUAGGCGGUUUGUUGCGUCGGCUGUGAAAUCCCGAGGCUCAACCUCGGGUCUGCAGUCGAUACGAGCAAACUAGAGUGUUGCAGGGGAGACUGGAAUUCCUGGUGUAGCGGUGAAAUGCGCAGAUAUCAGGAGGAACACCGGUGGCGAAGGCGGGUCUCUGGGCAGCAACUGACGCUGAGGAGCGAAAGCCAGGGGGAGCAAACGGG
rnacentral:rRNA from 1 species